GGGGGAUGAAGGGAGCUUGCUCCUGGAUUCAGCGGCGGACGGGUGAGUAAUGCCUAGGAAUCUGCCUGGUAGUGGGGGAUAACGUCCGGAAACGGGCGCUAAUACCGCAUACGUCCUGAGGGAGAAAGUGGGGGAUCUUCGGACCUCACGCUAUCAGAUGAGCCUAGGUCGGAUUAGCUAGUUGGUGGGGUAAAGGCCUACCAAGGCGACGAUCCGUAACUGGUCUGAGAGGAUGAUCAGUCACACUGGAACUGAGACACGGUCCAGACUCCUACGGGAGGCAGCAGUGGGGAAUAUUGGACAAUGGGCGAAAGCCUGAUCCAGCCAUGCCGCGUGUGUGAAGAAGGUCUUCGGAUUGUAAAGCACUUUAAGUUGGGAGGAAGGGCAGUAAGUUAAUACCUUGCUGUUUUGACGUUACCAACAGAAUAAGCACCGGCUAACUUCGUGCCAGCAGCCGCGGUAAUACGAAGGGUGCAAGCGUUAAUCGGAAUUACUGGGCGUAAAGCGCGCGUAGGUGGUUCAGCAAGUUGGAUGUGAAAUCCCCGGGCUCAACCUGGGAACUGCAUCCAAAACUACUGAGCUAGAGUACGGUAGAGGGUGGUGGAAUUUCCUGUGUAGCGGUGAAAUGCGUAGAUAUAGGAAGGAACACCAGUGGCGAAGGCGACCACCUGGACUGAUACUGACACUGACGUGCGAAACCGUGGGGAGCAAACAGGAUUAGAUACCCUCGUCCCUCCACGCCGUACACUAUGUCAACUACCC
rnacentral:rRNA from 1 species